AGGGCACCACCAGGAGUGGAGCCUGCGGCUUAACAUAAGUGUGUAAGACAGAUUGAUAGCUCUUUCUCGAAUCUAUGGGUGGUGGUGCAUGGCCGUUCUUAGUUCGUGGAGUGAUUUGUCUGGUUAAUUCCGAUAACGAACGAGACUCAAAUAUAUUAAAUAGAUGCUUUCAGGAUUAUGGUGUUGAAACUUUAUAUAGCCUUCAAUCAUAAAUGCAGUAAAAUGUACGAGUGCUUGAAUGUGUUAUGUAAGUGGAGCCGUACCUGUUGGUUUGUCCUAUUAUAAGGGACACUAGCUUCUUAAAUGGACAAAUUGCGUCUAGCAAUAAUGAGAUUGAGCA
rnacentral:rRNA from 1 species